rnacentral:rRNA from 1 species
AUCGAACGCUGGCGGCAGGCCUAACACAUGCAAGUCGAACGAGUGGCGGACGGGUGAGUAAGGUCUGGGAAACUGCCUGAUGGAGGGGGAUAACUACUGGAAACGGUAGCUAAUAGCGCAUACCAUCGGAUGUGCCCAGAUGGGAUUAGCUAGUAGGUGGGGUAAAGGCUAACCACGGCGACGCUCCCUAGCUGGUCUGAGAGGGUGACCAGCAACACUGGAACGGAGACACGGACCAGACUCCUACGGGAGGCAGCAGUGGGGAAUAUUGGACAAUGGACGAAAGUCUGAUGCAGCCAUGCCGCGUGUAUGAAGAAGGUCUUCGGGUUGUAAAGUACUUUCAGUGGGGAGGCGGUACCCGCAGAGGAAGCACCUGCUAACUCCGUGCCAGCCGCCGCGGUAAUAC